UACGAAGGGGGCUAGCGUUGCUCGGAAUUACUGGGCGUAAAGGGAGCGUAGGCGGACUGUUAAGUUAGAGGUGAAAGCCCAGGGCUCAACCUUGGAAUUGCCUUUGAUACUGGCAGUCUUGAGUACGGAAGAGGUAUGUGGAACUCCGAGUGUAGAGGUGAAAUUCGUAGAUAUCGGAAGAACACCAGUGACGAAGGCGACAUACUGGUCCGUUACUGACGCUGAGGCUCGAAAGCGUGGGGAGCAAACAGG
rnacentral:rRNA from 1 species